GACAGACUAACAGGAUCCCCUAGUAACGGCGAGUGAAGAGGGAAGAGCCCAAGAUUGAAAGCUGGCGUCUUCGGCGUCCGCAUUGUAAUCUCAAGAAGUGUUUUCCGCUUCGGACCAUGCCUAAGUCCCUUGGAAAAGGGCAUCAUAGAGGGUGAUAAUCCCGUUCAUGGCAUGGAGCGCCCGAAGCUUUGUGAUACGCUUUCUAAGAGUCGAGUUGUUUGGGAAUGCAGCUCAAAAUGGGUGGUAAAUGCCAUCUAAGGCUAAAUAUUGGGGAGAGACCGAUAGCGAACAAGUACAGUGAUGGAAAGAUGAAAAGAACUUUGAAAAGAGAGUUAAACAGUACGUGAAAUUGCCAAAAGGGAAGGGUAGGAGGUCAGAGAUGCGUCUUGGAAUUCAGCCUUGCUUCUGCUUGGUGUUUUUUCCAUUUUGCAGGCCAACGUCGGUUUUGGGCACUGGAGAAGGGUGGAAGGAACGUGGCACCUCUCGGGGUGUGUUAUAGCCUUCUACUGGAUACAGCGACCGAGACCGAGGACAGCAGCGUACUCGCAAGAGCGGGCUUCGGCACCUUACGCUAGGCGUGCUUC
rnacentral:rRNA from 1 species